rnacentral:rRNA from 1 species
CAGUCGCCGCGGUAAUACGGAGGGGGCUAGCGUUGUUCGGAAUUACUGGGCGUAAAGCGCACGUAGGCGGCGUGGUAAGUUAGAUGUGAAAUCCCCCGGCUCAACCGGGGAGUGUCAUUGGAAACUGGGAAACUUGAGUGCAUAAGAGGAGAGUGGAAUUCCAUGUGUAGCGGUGAAAUGCGUAGAUAUAUGGAGGAACACCGGUGGCGAAAGCGGCUCUCUGGCUUGUAACUGACGCUGAGGCUCGAAAGCGUGGGGAGCAAACAGGAUUAGAUACCCCCGUAGUCCCUGUCUCUUAUAC